CGAAGAAGGAGAAGAAAAGAGAGAGCUAGCGUGGGAGGGAGAGGGAGAGGGAGAGAGAGAGAGGGCGGGAGGCCGGCGAAGGCCAACGGCGGCCGGCCUCGGCCGUGGGGAGCAAUGUUGACUUCACUUAAAAAUGGCGAAUUUUUUUAAGGCCGCAGCCGGACCCUAUUUCAUUUGAAACAGGGGUAAUGGCCACGGCCAAGGCCGGCCUCUGCUGGCCUCCGCCGGCAUUCCGCCGGCAUUCCGCCGGCAUCUGCCACUCUCCUCCGGCACUCCGCCGGCUCUCUCUCUCUCUUUCUCUUUUCCUCUCUACAUGGUCCCUCUCUUGGUACAGGCCCAGCAUGGCCUGUAUUGAGUCGUCCCGUCGAAGAACCGGUACAGUGCCUAGUACCAGUUCCUCCGACUUUGCAACAUCCUUCUUUUUUCUAUAUAUAUCCAUAAUUUAAUGAAAUAAAUAUAUGAACAAACUGAAAGAGCUAGUUCAUGAUAUUUUUAUGUAAUUCAUUAUAGGGAACAAAAAAAACAUACCUGCCAAGAGCUUUGCCAAAAUCAGCACAAAGGGAUCGGAUAUAUGUCCCUUUUGAGCAAGUGACUCGGAAUAUCAAAUUUUGCCUGCAGAAUAUAUAUAAAACAUGAUAAUGACACAGAACCAACUAUGUUAAUAUGUACAAGAGUUGGGAAAAAACACCACCAACAGAUUACACUCUAAAAGAUCAUAUGGUAAAGUAGUACAUUUUAACCACGCUUGCCCCAACCCAUCCCCUACCAAAGUUGUGCCUGAAUCAUAUUUGGAAAUGUAAAGCAAGAUGUUGACGAUAUUUGAUCAGUUCAGCUUUUUGACAAUCGGACAUUACCCCUUGGAUCUUAAGGAUCAAGUUUAUGGUUUACCCAUAAAAGAGGAAUAUAGGUAUCAUAUAGAACUCAUUCUUGUUA
rnacentral:lncRNA from 1 species